rnacentral:rRNA from 1 species
UGGGGUAAAGGCCUACCAAGGCGACGAUCAGUAGCUGGUCUGAGAGGACGACCAGCCACAUUGGGACUGAGACACGGCCCAAACUCCUACGGGAGGCAGCAGUGGGGAAUUUUGGACAAUGGGGGCAACCCUGAUCCAGCCAUGCCGCGUGCGGGAAGAAGGCCUUCGGGUUGUAAACCGCUUUUGUCAGGAACGAAACGGUCUUUAUGAAUAAUAAAGACUAAUGACGGUACCUGAAGAAUAAGCACCGGCUAACUAC